GUCCACGCCCUAAACGAUGCAUAUUUGGUGUGGGUCAUUCAGUUGAUCCGUGCCGGAGCUAACGCGUUAAAUAUGCCGCCUGGGGAGUACAGUCGCAAGGCUGAAACUCAAAGGAAUUGACGGGGGCCCGCACAAGCGGUGGAGCAUGUGGUUCAAUUCGACGCAACGCGAAGAACCUUACCUGGGCUCGAACGGCUGGUCAACGACUUUGGAAACAGAGUUACUCCGCAAGGAGGUCCAGUCGAGGUGCUGCAUGGCUGUCGU
rnacentral:rRNA from 1 species